GACCCGGUACGUCACUGAAGAUAAGAAAAGACUCACUUCCGGGCAUGAAUUGAAAGGAGGAAAACAGGGCUUCAGCAAUAUGUUCUAAAGGUACCACAUGCAUGUUUGUAAUGUUUAUGUUAUUAGAUUACUAAUAGACAAAUGUCCCCAAUCCCGGACAUCCCCUUUAAAUCUGCUACACUGCU